rnacentral:rRNA from 1 species
CCUACGGGUGGCUGCAGUAAGGAAUAUUGGUCAAUGGAGGAAACUCUGAACCAGCCAUCCCGCGUGAAGGAUGAAGGGGCUCUGCCUUGUAAACUUCUUUUGUCUGGGGCGAAAAAGCUCUAUUUAUCGAGAACUGACGGUACCAGAAGAAUAAGCACCGGCUAACUCCGUGCCAGCAGCCGCGGUAAUACGGAGGGUGCCGGAGUUAUCCGGAAUCACUGGGGUUAAGGGGUGCUAGGACGGCUUUGGUGAAAGGCUGUGGCUUAACCAUGGAAUUGCCAUUGAUACUGCAGAGCUUGAAUGAGGUUGAGGUUGGCGGAAUGUGACAUGUAGCGGUGAAAUGCUUAGAUAUGGCAUGGAACACCGAUUGCGAAGGCAGCUGACUGGACCUAGAUUGACGCUGAGGCACGAAAGCGUGGGGAGCGAACAGGAUUAGAUACCCCGGUAGUC